rnacentral:rRNA from 1 species
AGUGAACGCUGGCGGUAGGCCUAACACAUGCAAGUCGAACGGCAGCACAGUAAGAGCUUGCUCUUACGGGUGGCGAGUGGCGGACGGGUGAGGAAUACAUCGGAAUCUACUUUUUCGUGGGGGAUAACGUAGGGAAACUUACGCUAAUACCGCAUACGACCUACGGGUGAAAGCAGGGGAUCUUCGGACCUUUCGCGAUUGUAUGAGCCGAUGUCGGAUUAGCUAGUUGGCGGGGUAAAGGCCCACCAAGGCGACGAUCCGUAGCUGGUCUGAGAGGAUGAUCAGCCACACGGGAACUGAGACACGGUCCAGACUCCUACGGGAGGCAGCAGUGGGGAAUAUUGGACAAUGGGCGCAAGCAUGAUGCAGCAAUACCGCGUGGGUGAAGAAGGCAUUCGGGUUGUAAAGCCCUUUUGUUGGGAAAGAAAAGAAGCAGGUUAAUACCCCGCUGUUCUGACGGUACCCAAAGAAUAAGCACCGGCUAACUUCGUG